rnacentral:lncRNA from 1 species
GAGAAGUUCUGCACAUGAUAAGAAGGACUUGGGUGAGAAUCACACGGAGGUCCUGACUUACAGUUUUUUUGAAAAGCAAAUCAUUCGCAUAUCUCAGCAAAAGUCCUCAAAGGACAUUCCUGAGUUUCAGUGGGAGGAAAAAUGAGUUGCUUUCUGAGCCCUCUCAGCACCUUUCUGGACUGGUGAAUGUUACAAUAUGCUGUGUUGCUACAACUUUAUCUACAAACUGGGCCCGAGCGUCCGACACAGACUGUUCCUGCACUCACAAAUGACGGUGUAUUCCAGAAGUUCAUUUGUAGAUCUGUCUUUUGUCUGUUU